rnacentral:lncRNA from 1 species
CGUCGGUUAGUCUUCCUCCACUUUUGAAGUCUCCUCGUUUUCUUAGCUCUGAAGCUGUUCUUCUCUCUCCUGCCUCUGCUUAGCCUCACAGUGGAUUCGUGGAAUUCCUUCCAUACUCAAAUAUUUACAGAACUUAAGAAAAUAUCUUUAGCACUAGCAUGGGCUCGAUCAAUUUUGUCAUUAUCUUUUGUCAAUUCUUCAAUGUCCUUGCUUGGCAAGUUGCACUACUUCCAUCAUUUGCUCCUCAAAUUAUGUUCUUGAUCAUAAUAAAAGGUUUUCACCGUUUUUGUUUUUCACUCUUUUGUUCUUAAAUUUUGCAGGCCAUCAAUUCCUCUGAUGUUUCCCCUGUAAGUACACCACUGGAAUUCUACAUUUGAUGGGUUUGUAAGAUGGUUGCUAUUCAUUUUGACUGUUGGAAUUGAAAUAUGUUUAAACAGGUAUGCUUCGAUUCGAGCAAUAAAAUGUGAUCAAGAAUCAGUCUAUCAGCAAUGCCUCAAAUAUUGGGUAUUGUUUUCCAUGGCCACAAUCUUUGAAUGCGCACUUUCAAAGCUUCUUGUAUGGUAAAAUUCCUUUUUACACUAUUUUUUUUUUUUUAAAUUUGGUUACUUUUGAUUAAAAAUCUGAGAAGAUUUUUUAGAUGCUUUUCUUUAAUGAUGAUCUUGCAAGAUUUAGAAGAAAAGCUAAAAAGGAAUUAAUAUAAAAAUAAUAUCAUAGAUGUUGAGAUGAUAAAGAGGUAGACCUCUUCAAAGCCUAAUAGUACUAAAUUAAACAGUAUCCUUGACUAGUGCUAUUAGAGGACUCAUAUCAUUGUGUCUGCACACCCAUAUUGCAGCACAGAUUCUCCAUUUAUUUUAUUUUUUUUUUUGGCUUUUCAUGGGGAGUUUAGUUUUUGAUUGUUUUCUUUACAUCUAACUUGAUCUAAAUCUUUUGUACAUGAAUUUUGAAUUAACUAUAUUU